UUCCAGCGUCGCUCUGUCCCAUUCUGUCGUCCCGACUCCCGACCUCUCACCUGGGUGCCGCACGCCGCCGCCGCACCUGCUGCGCCGCUGCCGCGGGCUCGUCGCCGCAGCCGGUCGCCACCCCUGCUACACCCUUGCGCCAUCCCCUGCCUCUGCUGUUGUGCGCCACCGCCGCCGCCCUGCUGCAUCCUCGCCACCGAGCCCACGCCUGCUGUUCCUUCCGUUCUGGGUGCGCUCUGACUCACGGAUGGCGUUUCCUCCGCGGGGUGGCGCUGAUGCGUGCAGUUCAUGUGGGGGUUGGGACGUCUACGGCCUCGACGACGAGUUGCUCGCCAUAGUUCCCCAACCCGUGCUCGCCGUCAUCUUCCUGUAACCAGUUGAUUUCUGUGGUGAUCUGGAUGAAAAGGUGGAGGAAUACGAUGCUUCUGCUACCUCGAUGGCAGGGAGCAAGGUACAGUUGUGUUGCUAUGUUCAGAUUUUUUAACUGGGUAGCGCAUCUGUUGUGUUCGGUUGAAUGCUUCAGUCACGGUAUUAUGCUUUCUGAUGCAGUAGGUUGGUGCGCUGAAAUAGGUAGGAGAUAGUCUAAUUAAACAGUGUGCAAACUAAUUUCGAGAUGUUUUGUUUUGUUUUGGUAACUCCAUGCCACAGUACUCCUAUAGAGUAGUUAUCGGCUUGCUGUUGCUGUGUGGUCGUUAUUGUGAUGUAGUGCUUGCCGUAGUUUCUAGUUCGGUAAGCUUUGUGUGGCUGUUUCCCUCAUCAACUAGCUAGAUGCACUAGGUUAUUCUGGGUUUCAGAUUACAGCUGCAUUAUGUCACUUCUGUGUUAGAUGAUGCGAUGUGGAUCCACCCCUGAUUAUGUAAUGGAUAUCACACAUCUAUCAACUACUAAAACUAUGUUUCAUGAGUAAUUUUCUUUUGAUUUGGACCUAAUCGAACACAAGCCAAUUUCAUGGUCAUUUUAUGGUACUACUUCCUCCAUCCACAAAUAAGUGUACUUGUAAAUUUUGUCCUAAGUCAAAAAUAUUCUAGUCUACCCAAUUUUAUUGAGAAAUGUAGCAACAUUUUUUACACUAAAUUAGUAUCAUUAGAUCUGUUUUGACAUGUACUUUCAUAAUAUACCGAUUUGAUGUCGUACGUGUUGCUACUCUUAUAAAAAAAGUUGGUCAAAUCUAAAAAAGUUUGACUUAGGACAAAACCUAGAAGUACACUUAUUUGUGUACGGAGGUAGCGUAGGUGUUUGAGUUAGCAGGGUAAUGCCAAUUUGAUGUGUAUUUGCGCUGUCAUUUAAAUGCAAUACAAAUGUUGUUAAGAUGCAAAUGCACUUCCUUCUAUAGAAGAGCAAUUGCAUACCUAGAUUUUGCAGUUGAAUCUUAGCAAUUCAUGAGUAUGAACUUUACUGCACUAAGUUUCAGCAAAUUGAACUUGAUAGUAUAUAUUUUUGCACUGUUCUAUAAAUGCAAUCGUGACAAGCACUAGUUGCAAUUCUGAUCUUUUAAAAUUGCAAUCUGCUGGUUCUGUCCAUUUUGAUGUUGGUUUAGUCAUGUUGUUCGCAUCAAAUUGCACUGCAUUUUGAUGUCAAUUGCACCAACUGUACUGCUGCAAUUUCAGUGUUUUUAAAUCGCAAUGUGUGUUCAAUUGCAAUUUUCAGGAUCUAAUCAUUUUGUGUUUAAUCAAUAUGGUUUAGUGUAAAAAAUGUUGCUACAUUUCUCAAUAAAAUUGUACCUUCAUUUUGUCUAUGUUCAAGUUGUAACCUCUGAAUUAAUUGCACCAUUUUAUUAUCUUACAAGGGACCUUGUCAAGUUUGUGGGAAGCCAAGUGGGCCAUGUAAUAUAAAACCAAAGAUCAAGAGUUUCUUUUGCAUCAAUAUCAUCAAGGAUUUUGAUGAUCAUGUGAAAUUCCCAGAAACAACCACAAACAUCCUUAGGAUACCUAAGAGAGGUGAUAUGUUUAUUUAUGCUAGAGAGCCGGAUGUGCCAGAGGUGGCAAGGUUAAUUCAGUUUCAUAUCGGCAAGGUUAAUUCAGUUUCGUAUCGAUACUGAUGGCCGUAUGGCAACAGUGGGAUCAACAUUGUGGAAAUAAUUUGUUAAGGAAGCUCUGUUGAAGAAGAAACCAACACAUUCCUAUGCUAAUCUUCAAGGAAAUGCACGUUUAGUUUUUGCGAGGCGCUGUGAACUUUACCUUCUCUGACCCUUCUCUUCUAGGUUAUGCUUGCUGAACUUAUUACCGAUAUAUAACUUACCACCUAUGGUUAACUGAUGUAUUUUAUCAUGUACUGUGCAAUGACUUUUACUAAACCUUUGAUAAAAGCAUCCAGCUGUACUGUUGUUCUGGUCGUAACAAAUAUAUAUAGUGCUUGUGUAACAUAUAACUA